rnacentral:rRNA from 1 species
GACGAACGCUGGCGGCGUGCCUAACACAUGCAAGUCGAGGGUGAACGUCUCCUUCGGGAGGCUAGUAGACCGGCGACGGGUGCGUAACACGUGAGCAACCUGCCUGGAAGAGGGGGAUAACCCGGGGAAACCCGGGCUAAUACCGCAUAAUGUGACCUGUUCUUAUGUGUGGGUCACCAAAGAGGGCGUCUUUCGCGGAGCUCUUGCUCCCAGAUGGGCUCGCGGCUUAUCAGCUUGUUGGUGAGGUAACGGCUCACCAAGGCGAUGACGGGUAGCUGGUCUUAGCGGAUGAUCAGCCACACGGGGACUGAGACACGGCCCCGACUCCUACGGGAGGCAGCAGUGGGGAAUUUUGGACAAUGGGCGAAAGCCUGAUCCAGCGACGCCGCGUGCGGGAGGAAGCCCCUCGGGGUGUAAACCGUUGUCAGGAGGGAAGAACGGGUUCGGGAUAAUACCCCGGAUCGCUGACGGUACCUCCAGAGGAAGCGCCGGCUAACUCCGUG